GCCCUUAUAGCUCAGUGGUAGAGCGUUGCACUUGUAAUGCAAAGGUCCAUAGUUCAAUCCUGUGUGGGGGCA
rfam:Nectria haematococca mpVI 77-13-4 chromosome 9 genomic scaffold NECHAsca_27_chr9_1_0, whole genome shotgun sequence.